AUGAUUAGUAUACAGUCUGACCAAUGUUUUAAUCAAUCUCCGUGCCUAACUGAAGUGCAGUGCGAAUUUUGUGCUAAUUGUUCUGCAAAUCAGCGAGGGAAUGUUGGAAGCAGGAAUUCCUUCAGGGAGUUCUGUGCUAAUUGCUCUGCAAAUCAGCGAGCAAAUGUUGGAAGCAGGAAUCCCUUCAGAGUUCCAAGGAAAUGCCUGUUUUGCUCUUCCAAAUUAGAGCCAAACAGAGUGUUGUGUAACUAUGGACGAAGGGCGUAUACAUUUAUGGCUACUUUCGCGUGGUUCCAUCGGCCUAACAGUAACUGCAAUCCUUUUUUUUUGAAAUAG
rnacentral:rRNA from 1 species